GUCAAGAAUCUUCCUCAAUGGGCGCAAGCCUGAAGGAGCGACGCCGCGUGAAUGAAGAAGCCCUUCGGGGUGUAAAGUUCUUUUAGCAGGGAAAAAGUUCUGAUGGUACCUGCGGAAUAAGGAGCUGCAAACUUCGUGCCAGCAGCAGCGGUAAGACGAAGGCUCCAAGCGUUAUCCGGAAUCAUUGGGCGUAAAGCGUCCCUAAAUUGUUUUGUACGUUCAUCAUUAAAUCCUCGCGCUCAACGUGGGGGCUGUGGUGAAUACGGCAUCACUCGAGGUCAGUAGAGGUACAUAGAAUUACCGGUGUAGUAGUGAAAUGCGUUAAUAUCGGUAAGAAUACCAAUAGCGAAAGCAGUGUACUGGGCUGUACCUGACAUCCAAGGACGAAAGCGUGGGGAGCAAACAGGAUUAGAUACCCGAGUAGUCC
rnacentral:rRNA from 1 species